rnacentral:lncRNA from 1 species
UGGCUCCUUGUCUCUCUGGCCAGUGUGCAGUCACCUUCCUCUGUUUUUGCCCAACUCUGCCAGCUGGAGUUUCCAAAGCAGAACUAUCUGACCCUUAAUGCCUUUGUCUCUCCCACAGGACUCCUGAGCUCUAAGAAAGUCAAAGGAUAUACCUAGGCACCUGUUUCCAGUGUACUUGAACAUUUUGCAACAGUUUAGAAGCUCUUAGAGUAUACUGUGACCAGCAGUUAGGAGGCUGAUUUGCUUGGAAGUGAGGAAAUAAAGCAAACACAAUAAGUACUCAUGCUCUCACUUGCAUUUUCAGGCAAAAAAGAAGGGAAUGACAGGCAAGUGUGUACCCCCUUCUUAUGUGAAGCUGUGGCCUGGGCUGUGGCCUGACCUGCGGCCCCUGGAAAUCAGACCUUCAGCUCAGAAGUGAGACCCAAGAGGAGCCAACGUCUGUGUUUUGCACAAGAUACAGAAUGGUUGUUUGUCCACAUUUUGGGGAAUGAGUGGGCGGGAGCAUCAAGGAACAGUUCAGUGCAUUGAAUCCUUGGGAGCAGCAGAAUGCAAGAAAGGGAUUUGAAGCAAAUAUCAGCAGCUGAGAACAGGGAGGUGGAAAUCGGAAACCUGAGAGAAUCCUUGAGACAAGAGUAUGCAUGAAGAGCAGGCUUCACAGGGAGACUUCAGAAGGGCUGUGCGCUAGAGGGGACCUCAGUGUGCCAAGCUGACUUGGAGUGGAAUGACAGCAAGACAAGCCCUUGAAAAAAUGUAGGGGUGGGAAGACAGUACCAGUAUGAGGAAGCACAGGGGAAAAAAAUGUGCAUGAUGAUUUAAACUGCAUUUGCACGGUGGCAGCGUCUGCCUGAGGGCAGAGGGGGCUGUAAUUGAAGUUCCAGAAGCAUGGAGACAUUUAGUGGAUGAUUAACUCAGGAGAUCCUUGUGUUUGUAGAUGGAGCAAGGCAACUGACCUGGAGUGGGGGACAGCGAGGGAUGCUUCUGGCUUCCCACUGCUCACUGGGAACCAGGUGGCAGCUCUUUGCUUUCUCCUUGUAGGGAGAUGCUGGGCUUUGUGUUUACCCCAAAGACAAACACAUUCCUCACAGUACUACCAAUGCCUUGACUCAAGGGUCACACGGAAUAUGUCCAGUUGGGGGAUGGAUGUGUCCCACUCCUCUUGGAAGUCCUCGGUUGUGUCCUGGAGCAGGGCUGCCUGCAGUUUCUUCUAGCUAAGGAGUAGUGGAUAACUGCAUGAACAGAUGAAUGAAUGGGUGAGAGUGUAUGGAGGCCACAGAAGUCACUGUGAGCCUUGGAGGACACUGUCAUUGUGACCAACCCCUGGCCUGCUUCUCAAAGGAACUACACGGGUCACCUGCCUUUGCCAGAAUGAAGAAACCCUCACUUCCGACUGGUACAAAUGAUCAACUUAAAGAACCCUAGGGUUGUCUGUUGUAGAAAUCAACUCUUUAAUCAUCAGCAGCUGCAUUUCUCCUGGGAUGCUCUGGUGGAAAUGGCUGCACAGCACACUCUCUUCUGGUCCACUGGUCUACAUGGGAGAGAUGGAGGUCAGGGCAUUGCCUCCUAUGGAUAGAGAUCCCCAGGGCUGACACGGGGGCAGUUCUACUGGGGUUGGAUAUGUGCUUCAUGAUGACUGCCGUGACAUAGCUACAAGAUAUCUACAGCCACCCUA